rnacentral:siRNA from 1 species
UUCGGCGGAAGCGUCGUUCGG